rnacentral:rRNA from 1 species
GGUGAGUAACACGUGGGCAACCUGCCCGUAAGACCGGGAUAACUUGCGGAAACGUGAGCUAAUACCGGAUAGUUUUCCUUCCCGCAUGGGAAGGAAAGGAAAGGUGGCGCAAGCUACCACUUACGGAUGGGCCCGCGGCGCAUUAGCUAGUUGGUGGGGUAACGGCCUACCAAGGCGACGAUGCGUAGCCGACCUGAGAGGGUGAUCGGCCACACUGGGACUGAGACACGGCCCAGACUCCUACGGGAGGCAGCAGUAGGGAAUCUUCCGCAAUGGACGAAAGUCUGACGGAGCAACGCCGCGUGAGUGAAGAAGGUUUUCGGAUCGUAAAACUCUGUUGUUAGAGAAGAACAAGGAUGAGAAGAGAAUGUUCAUCCCUUGACGGUAUCUAACCAGAAAGCCACGGCUAACUACGUGCCAGCAGCCGCGGUAAUACGUAGGUGGCAAGCGUUGUCCGGAUUUAUUGGGCGUAAAGCGAGCGCAGGCGGUUUCUUAAGUCUGAUGUGAAAGCCCCCGGCUUAACCGGGGAGGGUCAUUGGAAACUGGGAGACUUGAGUGCAGAAGAGGAGAGUGGAAUUCCAUGUGUAGCGGUGAAAUGCGUAGAUAUAUGGAGGAACACCAGUGGCGAANGCGGCUCUCUGGUCUGUAACUGACGCUGAGGCUCGAAAGCGUGGGGAGCGAACAGGAUUAGAUACCCUGGUAGUCCACGCC